CAUUUAUUCAACAUUUAUUCAAAAAAUUGUGUCAGGUUAUUUAGAGGAAGCUUCACUAUACCAAAAAUAUUAAUCAAGUGUCCUUCAUUGCUGCGCAAAGUCCAUCAUCUCACAAAACCUGCUGGCCCAUGGAUAGGACCUCUCUUGCUGGCUAUUCAUGGCUUCAGGCUCUCCAAAGCUGCUUCAUCAUCGUGGGCUGUUCACCAUCAUCUAUAACCUGCACCUACUAGAUGCCAGUAGCUGUCGCCUAUCCUGCACUUCUAUUAAGCAGCAACAUGACCAAGGAUCCUAGGAGACAAAAUGACUCUUGAUGAAGGAGCACAGUUGUAGUGUCCCAACAAAUCCUUAAAGCUCUGCCAGUGGGAUGGAGUCAAACCUGGCUAACAGAAGAAAGCAAGGCAGCCCGCUUCCAGGCAAAACAACUACCUCAGGCUCUACGUGACAUUCAACCAGAGCAUAAAGCAAGACAAAAACUGAAAAGAAAAUCUGCAAAAAGGCAAACAGGCAAGUAAUGACGAGAAUUCCACAGAAGCAGAGCAGGAGAGGGCAUUGUGACAAUGUGGAUAUGAACAGACACGUUUUAUGCCUCUUGUGUUUAAAUGGUGGAUGCUGUGUGAGGUUGGGUGGUAAAUUUUAGCAGAGAGGGAAAUAAAAAAAGAAAAAAGAAAAACUAAAUUAAAAGUCCUAGACACAAAAGGACACUAAAGGAAUGCUGAGAAUAGACUUACAAGAGGGCCUUCCAAUACUGGGGGAGGGUUCCUUGCCCUUGAAGGUACUUGGGUAAGGUCACCCUAUGAUUAGUAGGACAAAGGAGGGCAUGGGCAAUCAGAAGACCAUGGAGACACAAAACAGAGUUCACAGGUCAAAAGCCACAUGCCACAAGCAAUAGAAAAAGUAAGCAACAGUCAAGGGACAAAGAAAAUACUUAAGGUGAUGAUCAGAAAUAUCUUAAAGUAACAUGUGCCCUGAAGUACAGACCUGUAACUUAAGGGAGUAACUCCAAAGCAGUCCCCAAACAUUGAGAAGAAAAUUGAUAGGGAGUAACAAGCGAUUUUAUAAUCAUGGGAGGGUAACUAAGCAGACCUCUCUUUUAUGACAAAAUAAUAUUUUUAAACUGUA